CACGUAGGAGGCAAACGUUAUCCGGAUUUACUGGGCGUAAAGCGCAUGUAGGUGGUUCUGUAAGUAGGGCGUGAAAGCUCCCGGGUCAACUGGGAGAGGCCGUUCUAAACUACAGAGCUAGAGGAUGGUAGAGGGAGGUGGAAUUCCGGGUGUAGCGGUGGAAUGCGCAGAUAUCCGGAGGAACACCAGUGGCGAAAGCGGCCUCCUGGUCCAUUCCUGACACUCAGAUGCGAAAGCUAGGGUAGCAAACGGGAUUAGAUACCCCCGUAGUCCCUGAGCGGG
rnacentral:rRNA from 1 species